GAGGGAAACCGAGUCUUAAUUGGGCGUUAAGUUGCAGGGUAUAGACCCGAAACCCGGUGAUCUAGCCAUGGGCAGGUUGAAGGUUGGGUAACACUAACUGGAGGACCGAACCGACUAAUGUUGAAAAAUUAGCGGAUGACCUGUGGCUGGGGGUGAAAGGCCAAUCAAACCGGGAGAUAGCUGGUUCUCCCCGAAAGCUAUUUAGGUAGCGCCUCGUGAAUUCAUCUCCGGGGGUAGAGCACUGUUUCGGCUAGGGGGCCAUCCCGGCUUACCAACCCGAUGCAAACUGCGAAUACCGGAGAAUGUUAUCACGGGAGACACACGGCGGGUGCUAACGUCCGUCGUGAAGAGGGAAACAACCCAGACCGCCAGCUAAGGUCCCAAAGUCAUGGUUAAGUGGGAAACGAUGUGGGAAGGCCCAGACAGCCAGGAUGUUGGCUUAGAAGCAGCCAUCAUUUAAAGAAAGCGUAAUAGCUCACUGGUCGAGUCGGCCUGCGCGGAAGAUGUAACGGGGCUAAACCAUGCACCGAAGCUGCGGCAGCGAACGUAUCACUUAAAGCGAUUCAGCGGGUUACGAUUGACGGAGCGAAGCGACGUCAAAGCGUAUACAAAGUCGAGUCGGUUUAAGGAUACGUUCGUUGGGUAGGGGAGCGUUCUGUAAGCCUGUGAAGGUGGCCUGUGAGGGUUGCUGGAGGUAUCAGAAGUGCGAAUGCUGACAUAAGUAACGAUAAAGCGGGUGAAAAGCCCGCUCGCCGGAAGACCAAGGGUUCCUGUCCAACGUUAAUCGGGGCAGGGUGAGUCGACCCCUAAGGCGAGGCCGAAAGGCGUAGUCGAUGGGAAACGGGUUAAUAUUCCCGUACUUGGUGUUACUGCGAAGGGGGGACGGAGAAGGCUAUGUUGGCCGGGCGACGGUUGUCCCGGUUUAAGCGUGUAGGUGUGUGUUCCAGGUAAAUCCGGUUCACUUUAACACUGAGGCGUGAUGACGAGGCACUACGGUGCUGAAGCAACAAAUGCCCUGCUUCCAGGAAAAGCCUCUAAGCAUCAGGUAACAUCAAAUCGUACCCCAAACCGACACAGGUGGUCAGGUAGAGAAUACCAAGGCGCUUGAGAGAACUCGGGUGAAGGAACUAGGCAAAAUGGUGCCGUAACUUCGGGAGAAGGCACGCUGACAC
rnacentral:rRNA from 1 species